rnacentral:rRNA from 1 species
CCUACGGGAGGCAGCAGUGGGGGAUAUUGCACAAUGGGCGGAACUCUGAUGCAGCGACGCCGCGUGGGUGAAGAAGCGCCUCGGCGCGUAAAGCCCUGUCAGCAGGGAAGAAAAUGACGGUACCUGAAGAAGAAGCUCCGGCUAACUACGUGCCAGCAGCCGCGGGAAUACGUCGGGGGCAAGCGUUAUCCGGAUUUACUGGGUGUAAAGGGGGCGCAGGCGGCGAUGCAAGCCAGGAGUGAAAGCCCGGGGCCCAACCCCGGGACUGCUGUUGGAACUGCGUGGCUGGAGUGCAGGAGGGGCAGGCGGAAUUCCUGGUGUAGCGGUGAAAUGCGUAGAUAUCAGGAGGAACACCGGUGGCGAAGGCGGCCUGCUGGACUGCAACUGACGUUGAGGCCCGAAAGCGUGGGGAGCAAACAGGAUUAGAUACCCGUGUAGUC